rnacentral:rRNA from 1 species
GACAAGUGGCCACCAUGUGGGAUUUUCUCUCAAUAGGUUGAGAGCAUCUCUCUCUAACUAACUUUUAUUGAGAGCUCUUUCUAGAUUCUAUGAGUGGUGGUGCAUGGCCAUUCUUAGUUGGUGAAGCGAUUUGUUUGGUUAAUUCCGUUAACGAAUGAGACCUCAAUCUGCUAACUAGCUAUGCCGAGGUAACCCUUCGUGGCCAGCUUCUUAGAAGGACUACGACCUUUUAAGCCGUGGAAGUUUGAGGCAAUAACAGGUUUGUGAUGCCCUUAGAUGUUCUGGGCCACAAGCGCACUACAUUGAUGCAUUCAACAAGUUUAUAGCCUUGGCCAACAGGUCCGGGUAAUCUUUGAAAUUUCAUUGUGAUGGGGAUAGAUCAUUGUAAUUGUUGGUCUUCAACAAGGAAUUCCUAGUAAGCAUAAGUCAUCAGCUCAUGUUGACUACGUUCCUACCCUUUAUAC